rnacentral:ncRNA from 2 species
UAUGGUAAGAUACUUAUUGGUCUAUGACCCCUUGCCACUUAUUCACCUUUGGGCAAGCAUAUUACACUCGCAAAAAGCGAUAAAGGAGAAAUAUAUG